rnacentral:rRNA from 1 species
GGUGAACGCUGGCGGCGUGCUUAAGACAUGCAAGUCGAACGCAGUCUUCGGACUGAGUGGCGCACGGGUGAGUAACACGUAACUGACCUACCCCCAAGUCGCGAAUAACCAGCCGAAAGGAUGGCUAAUACGUGAUGUGAUGAUCCGCUGCGGCGGAUCAUUAAAGACUUGAUCGCUUGGGGAUGGGGUUGCGUUCCAUCAGCUAGUUGGUAAGGUAAAGGCUUACCAAGGCAACGACGGAUAGCCGGCCUGAGAGGGUGGCCGGCCACAGGGGCACUGAGACACGGGUCCCACUCCUACGGGAGGCAGCAGUUAGGAAUCUUCCACAAUGGGCGCAAGCCUGAUGGAGUGACGCCGCGUGAGGGAUGAAGGUUCUCGGAUCGUAAACCUCUGAACCAACGACGAAAGACCCGGCAAGGGAGAUGACGGUAGUUGGGUAAUAGCACCGGCUAACUCCGUGCCAGCAGCCGCCGUAAGAC